GAUGAACGCUGGCGGCGUGCCUAAUACAUGCAAGUCGAGCGAAUGGAUUAAGAGCUUGCUCUUAUGAAGUUAGCGGCGGACGGGUGAGUAACACGUGGGUAACCUGCCCAUAAGACUGGGAUAACUCCGGGAAACCGGGGCUAAUACCGGAUAACAUUUUGAACCGCAUGGUUCGAAAUUGAAAGGCGGCUUCGGCUGUCACUUAUGGAUGGACCCGCGUCGCAUUAGCUAGUUGGUGAGGUAACGGCUCACCAAGGCAACGAUGCGUAGACGACCUGAGAGGGUGAUCGGCCACACUGGGACUGAGACACGGCCCAGACUCCUACGGGAGGCAGCAGUAGGGAGUCUUCCGCAAUGGACGAAAGUCUGACGGAGCAACGCCGCGUGAGUGAUGAAGGCUUUCGGGUCGUAAAACUCUGUUGUUAGGGAAGAACAAGUGCUAGUUGAAUAAGCUGACACCUUGACGGUACCUAACCAGAAAGCCACGGCUAACUACGUGCCAGCCGCCGCCGUAA
rnacentral:rRNA from 1 species